AGCAAACCCUAGAACUACUCUUCUUCUUCUUGAUGUAGUGAAGUGGGUGAAAGGAUGCUCCUCCAGGACCUCGCCGCGUGUUCAAGAUCGUUGGUAUGCAAAGAGUAAUAACCUUAAGCAAUUGAAGAUACAAGCAAAGUUGGUCAGCUGUUGUUGCAUGGAGGCUAUUAUGAGUUUGUAUUGCUUUUUCUACAUUGUAAAAAAAUAAUUGUUAUUUUAUGUGAAGUGAUUAAAGAAAAUGAUAGAAAUUAUGUUUAAACA